UAAAUUACAGCUGUGAAACGCACAGCAAUGC
rnacentral:piRNA from 1 species